rnacentral:tRNA from 1 species
GCCGACUUAGCUCAAUGGUAGAGCAACUGAUUUGUAAUCAGUAGGUUGGGGGUUCGAGUCCCUCAGUCGGCACCA